rnacentral:rRNA from 1 species
GGUUCAGGAUGAACGCUAGCUACAGGCUAACACAUGCGAAGUCGGGGGCAGCAGAACGAUAGCUUGCUAUGUUGAUGGCGACCGGCGCACGGGUGAGUAACGCGUAUCCAACCUUCCCUGUACUAGAGGAUAGCCCGGCGAAAGUCGGAUUAAUACUCUAUGUUAUUCAAUGCGGACAUCUAAGUUGAAUCAAAGGUUUACCGGUAUAGGAUGGGGAUGCGUCUGAUUAGGUUGUUGGCGGGUAACGGCCCACCAAGCCUACGAUCAGUAGGGUUCUGAGAGGAAGGUCCCCCACAUUGGAACUGAGACACGGUCCAAACUCCUACGGGAGGCAGCAGUGAGGAAUAUUGGUCAAUGGACGAAAGUCUGAACCAGCCAAGUAGCGUGCCAGGAUGACGGCCCUAUGGGUUGUAAACUGCUUUUAUACAGGGAUAAAGUCAGUUACGUGUAACUGUUUGUAGGUACUGUAUGAAUAAGGACCGGCUAAUUCCGUGCCAGCCGCUGC